GAGGGUAUAGCUCAAGCGGUAGGUCACAUGCUUAGCAUGCAUGAGGUUAUGGGUUCAAUCCCCACUACCUCCU
rnacentral:tRNA from 1 species